rfam:Jatropha curcas cultivar GZQX0401 scaffold907_49, whole genome shotgun sequence.
GGAGAUAUAGCUCAGAUGGUAGAGCGUUCGCUUUGCAAGCGAGAGGUACGGGGAUCGAUACUCUGCAUUUUGA